GACGAGUCUCACGAACGUUAUUCGGAAUUACUGGGCUUAAAGGGCGCGUAGGCGGUGGAGUAAGUCGGAUGUGAAAUACCAUAGCUUAACUAUGGAACUGCACUCGAUACUACUUUGCUUGAGUAAGACAGAGGUGAGUGGAACUGAGGGUGGAGCGGUGAAAUGCGUUGAUAUCCUCAGGAACACCGGUGGCGAAGGCGACUCACUGGGUCUUUACUGACGCUGAUGCACGAAAGCUAGGGUAGCAAACGGG
rnacentral:rRNA from 1 species